GAUGAACGCUGGCGGCGUGCCUAACACAUGCAAGUCGAGCGAUUUACUUCGGUAAAGAGCGGCGGACGGGUGAGUAACGCGUGGGUAACCUGCCCUGUACACACGGAUAACAUACCGAAAGGUAUGCUAAUACGAGAUAAUAUGCUUUUAUCGCAUGGUAGAAGUAUCAAAGCCUUUGCGGUACAGGAUGGACCCGCGUCUGAUUAGCUAGUUGGUGAGGUAACGGCUCACCAAGGCGACGAUCAGUAGCCGAACUGAGAGGGUGAUCGGCCACAUUGGAACUGAGACACGGUCCAAACUCCUACGGGAGGCAGCAGUGGGGAAUAUUGCACAAUGGGCGAAAGCCUGAUGCAGCAACGCCGCGUGAGCGAUGAAGGCCUUCGGGUCGUAAAGCUCUGUCCUCAAGGAAGAUAAUGACGGUACUUGAGGAGGAAGCCCCGGCUAACUACGUG
rnacentral:rRNA from 1 species